rnacentral:rRNA from 1 species
UACGUAGGGUGCAAGCGUUAAUCGGAAUUACUGGGCGUAAAGCGUGCGCAGGCGGUUUUGUAAGUCUGUCGUGAAAUCCCCCGGGCUCAACCUGGGAAUUGCGAUGGAGACUGCAAGGCUGGAGUCUGGCAGAGGGGGGUAGAAUUCCGACGUGUAGCAGUGAAAUGACGUAGAGAUGUGGAGGAACACCGAUGGCGAAGGCAGCCCCCUGGGUCAAGACUGACGCUCAUGCACGAAAGCGUGGGGAGCAAACGAGG